rnacentral:tRNA from 1 species
GGGUUGCUAGCUCAGUCGGUAGAGCAUCUGACUUUUAAUCAGGUGGUCACAGGUUCGAUCCCUGUGCAACCCACCA